rnacentral:rRNA from 2 species
AGGCGGAUCUCUGGGCCGAUACUGACGCUGAGGAGCGAAAGCGUGGGGAGCGAACAGGAUUAGAUACCCUGGUAGUCCACGCCGUAAACGGUGGGCACUAGGUGUGGGCGACAUUCCACGUCGUCCGCGCCGCAGCUAACGCAUUAAGUGCCCCGCCUGGGGAGUACGGCCGCAAGGCUAAAACUCAAAGGAAUUGACGGGGGCCCGCACAAGCGGCGGAGCAUGUGGCUUAAUUCGACGCAACGCGAAGAACCU